UCCUACGGGAGGCAGCAGUGGGGAAUAUUGCGCAAUGGGGGAAACCCUGACGCAGCAACGCCGCGUGGAGGAAGAAGGUCUUCGGAUUGUAAACUCCUGUCUUCUGGGACGAACAAUGACGGCACCAGAGGAGGAAGCCACGGCUAACUACGUGCCAGCAGCCGCGGUAAUA
rnacentral:rRNA from 1 species